rnacentral:rRNA from 1 species
AUUGAACGCUGGCGGCAGGCCUAACACAUGCAAGUCGAGCGGUUGAGGUAGCUUGCUACCGAUGCAGCGGCGAACGGGUGAGUAAUACAUGGGAAUCUGCCUGGUAGUGGGGGACAACGUCUCGAAAGGGACGCUAAUACCGCAUACGCCCUACGGAGGAAAGGGGGGGAGCUUCGGACCUCUCGCUAUCAGAUGAGCCCAUGUCAGAUUAGCUAGUUGGUGGGGUAAAGGCUCACCAAGGCGACGAUCUGUAACUGGUCUGAGAGGAUGAUCAGUCACACUGGAACUGAGACACGGUCCAGACUCCUACGGGAGGCAGCAGUGGGGAAUAUUGGACAAUGGGCGCAAGCCUGAUCCAGCCAUGCCGCGUGUGUGAAGAAGGCCUUAGGGUUGUAAAGCACUUUCAGUGGGGAGAAAGGUAAUUCACCUAAUACGUGAGUUAAUUGAUGUUACCCACAGAAGAAGCACCGGCUAACUCCGUGCCAGCAGCCGCAGUAA